rnacentral:rRNA from 1 species
GACGAACGCUGGCGGCGUGCUUAACACAUGCAAGUCGAACGGGUCUGCCCUGUUUUUUGCGGGGUGGGUCAGUGGCGAACGGGUGAGUAACACGUGAGUAACCUGCCCCUCACUUCUGGAUAACCGCUUGAAAGGGUGGCUAAUACGGGGUGUUCUGGCUGUGCCGCAUGGUGUGGCUGGGAAAGAUUCACUUUUGUGGUGUUUUGGUGGGGGAUGGGCUCGCGGCCUAUCAGCUUGUUGGUGGGGUGAUGGCCUGCCAAGGGUUUGACGGGUAGCCGGCCUGAGAGGGUGGGCGGUCACACUGGGACUGAGAUACGGCCCAGACUCCUGCGGGAGGCAGCAGUGGGGGGUAUUGCACAAUGGGCGGAAGCCUGAUGCAGCGACGUCGCGUGAGGGAUGGAGGCCUUCGGGUUGUGAACCUCUUUCGCCGGUGAAGAAGGUCCUGCUCUUUGUGGUGGGGUUGACGGUAGCCGGGUUAUGAAGCGCCGGCUAACUACGUG